CGCGUAGGCGGUCUUGUCGGUCAGAUGUGAAAGCCCGGGGCUCAACCCUGGAAGUGCAUUUGAAACAGCAAGACUUGAAUACUGGAGAGGAGAGCGGAAUUCCUGGUGUAGAGGUGAGAUUCGUAGAUAUCAGGAGGAACACCGAUGGCGAAGGCAGCUCUCUGGACAGAUAUUGACGCUGAGGCGCGAAGGUGUGGGUAGCGAACAGGAUUAGAUACCCUGGUAGUCC
rnacentral:rRNA from 1 species